CUUUGUUCAAUUACAGACCAGUUGAAACACAGCAGAGCCGCUGACACGAUGCAAUUUCUUUGAAUAAUUUAUGUUAGAAAAUUAUCGGCUUAUUUAUUUGAUUUUUAAAAUAACAAAUAACGCCGUACUGACGUUUAUUAGUGAUAAUUUUAUUACUAUUGUGACUGCAUAAAUCACUGGGUCAUCGAAAUCUGGUGGUAGGAUUUCGGCGCUAAUUAGUCAAUAGUGACUGG